UCAGGGGGCCGGGCAGCCGCGUGUCUUUACGGCGCGAGGAAAGUCCGGGCUCCACGAAGCAAGGGUGGCGGGUAACGCCCGCCGGGCGGCGGCCUUCGGGCCAAGGCCAAGGGAAAGUGCCACAGAGAGCAAACCGCCGAUGGCCCGGACACGGGCACAGGCAAGGGUGAAAGGGUGCGGCAAGAGCGCACCGGGGCUUCGGCAACGCGGCCCGCAUGGCAAACCCCACCCGGAGCAAGGCCGAAUAGGGAUCCCGCGCUCCCGCAAGGGGGCAGGGCGCUUCGCCCCAGAGGAUCCGGGUUGGCUGCAAGAGCGCAUCCGGCAACGGAUCGCCCAGAUGAAUGGCUGCCACCGCGCGGCCGGUCCCGGCAACGGGAUACCGCGUGCGGAACAGAACCCGGCUUACAGGCCCCCUGACAUU
rnacentral:RNase_P_RNA from 1 species